rnacentral:rRNA from 1 species
GUUACCUACGGGGGGCAGCAGUGGGGAAUAUUGGGCAAUGGGCGCAAGCCUGACCCAGCAACGCCGCGUGAAGGAAGAAGGCUUUCGGGUUGUAAACUUCUUUUCUGAGGGACGAAGGAAGCGACGGUACCUCAGGAAUAAGCCACGGCUAACUACGUGCCAGCAGCCGCGGUAAUACGUAGGUGGCAAGCGUUAUCCGGAUUUAUUGGGUGUAAAGGGCGUGUAGGCGGGAAUGCAAGUCAGAUGUGAAAACUAUGGGCUCAACCCAUAGCCUGCAUUUGAAACUGUAUUUCU